AGUGGUAAAACUAAGGGGUAUUUCUAUUUUGUACUUCUCUUUUAAUAAUAUAGAUAGUUUCCAAAAGAAGAAAGUUUUUUUUAACACUAGUAAGAAGAAAGUUUGUAGAGCACGGUAACUGAUAAUAUUAUUGCGUUACGAAUGAUGAAAGGAAUGGAAGGACUUUCCAGCCUCUAUAAACGACUUUGGUCUCCUGACAUCUUCUUUAACAGAAUCAACGGCCGUAACAGAGCCAUCGUACAUGGCGGAGGAAAGUUUUUGGUGAUCCAUAGACUCGACUUCGAGAGACUUUCUCUCCAUUUUGUAGUAAUUACUACUACUAAAGUAAUAGUUAAAUUUGUAUUUUCUUUACUUUUGUAUGUUAUUGUUGUCUUAAAGGCCAAUGACUAUGUUUUUCAUCUUGGACCUGACCCUAUUUACAGUGUUAAGAAUAAGGAAGAUGGUGGAGACUGGAGACAGUCCUGGGUGGAGCUGUCGGAAUCUGGACAGAUUGGUAAUUUAUGAAUAUGGCCGUGAAAGAGACAUGUGUUAGUGAUUAUAAUAUUUAAUAGUAUAAUACAUGCGUCUUGCGCGGAAUGAGAUUAAAAUUAUAUUAUUAAAUAAAUAAAUAAAAUUACACACAUAAAUAUAUAUAUAGUUUUUAACUUACAUAAUAAUAUGAGUAUGAAUGACAUAAUUGAUUAGAUGCUUGGUGGUGCGAUAAGACUCACAUGAGUAUGUGAUUUUAAAACCGGAUCGAUCCAGUGAUUGGGCCAGGUUCGAUCAUGAACCGAUCACGUAUUCGGAUUGGAUCUAACAAUGGGUUUGACCAUGAAGCUGUCAAAUAGUCGGAUUGGGACUCUAAGUUAUUGAAUUUUAUAAAAACGAUUAAAAUUAUCAAAAAUAAGAAAAUAUUUUAUAUUUGUAAUAUCUUAUAUUUUUUAUUUUGUCAUUAAUAUUUAACAUUUGAUUUCUAUUUAUAUUUUUAUUGUAUCAUAUUUACUAAUUUUACUUUUAAAUUUUUAUAUCUAAAAAAUAUUGAACCAAAUUAUUGAACCAGAUUUGACAUGGUCAAAUCAUAUUGAACCGCAACUCAAAUAAACUCUGGUCCAGCUUCGAGUUGGUUUUAAAAAUAUUGCAUUUAGUAUAAAACACUAUAAGAAUACUUAAAGAGGUGAGAUAUUAUAAUGACAUGUUUGUAAAUAUAAAAAUUAUUCUAGAUAUUAAUAGGCAUAAAUAAAAAACGUUCCUACAAAUGUUAGUAUGUUGUUAUAGGAUGUACAUUAAUUAACUUAUGUUUUAUGUAUAGAUAUGGAGAAAUGUCAUAAGUCAUUCUAAGUUAAAAUUUCAGAUAAAUAUUUCUUCUUCUAAAAAUUCGAAAAUUUUGUCUCAAGCUUUUUGCCAGUCUUGUUUCUACUUCUUUCUUUUUUUUUGCUUCUAGUCUUCUAAAACCUAGGACCGGUUCUCCUUAAAAUCUUUAUCUCAAAACUGCAUCACAUCUCUGUAUAUUCUUUAAGUGAAUGGAAAUUUCAGUGUGAGAAAAAAAAUAUGUAUCAAUAUUACGGUUAGUCGGUUAGUUCUUAAAAAAAAGAAUAUUACAGUUGCAUAAAAUUCGUUGCAAGUGAAAGUGAUUAAUUACCACUCUAACAUUAAUGAGGACAAUUAAUUUAUAUGUGAGGAUGAUGGCAUUUUAACACCACCAUCUGGCUUAUUGAUUAUGCACCAAUCAGUGGAUGACACUAUCACAUGCAAGCAUUGUUACAGUAAUCCUCAAAAAAAAAAGUUCCUGAUAAUAACUUUACAAGCUUAGUAAAGCCCAACAUAAACAUAUCAAUGAACAAAUAGGCCCAUACAAGACAACCCAGAGUACUGCAGCCAAUGAGAUCAGAUGCAACUCUAACACCACUAAGUCAGCAUAAAGUUAAAUGUCGAUAAAAAAUAGGACGGCUAGUCAGUAACAAUCAACAAUAGUGUAGUCAAUUAUCUUUGUCUAAGAAACUUUUGGAGGCUAAUGAGUGUUCGAGCCUCUAUCACACUACAUUUAAACAUUUUCAUAAUUUAUAGGGCCGGCCUAAAAGCAGUAGCCUUUUUCGGGUGUAACAGGGAUGAUUAAAAUUCGGGGUCGGAUAAGUGACGAACAAACGAUUCAGGAUCUGAUAAGUUAUAUAACCUUAUGAACAACGUUUAAUUCAUUAGAGAGAAACGAAUCGGCAAAACCAAUAUUUUUACGUUUUAAAUGGACCUCAUAAACCAAUUUAAUAUUUUAAUAUUAAACAAGAGUUACAAUUAAAACUUCCGAUACAAACUGAUUGCGUACAAACAGAAGUAAAAAAAAUUAUGAAAGUGGAAUCUUCAUUCUUCAGCUGGCAAAUUCAAUGAUAGCACCGACGGGAACUGCAAUUUCACAACUGUAAGACACUUCAAUCAUGCUACGGUCUAGGAAGAAAAUGGUACCACCGUGGUACAAAUUGACAAUGCCACCAAUCAUAAAAACUACUGGGGAAAAGCGAGAGAGCAAAGGACGAACAAGUCACAGUUAAAUUUUAGAAACACAAUGCAAAGUCAACGCCCGAUUACCAACACCACCAUCUGGGGGAAGAUUUUUAAAAGUCAACAUUUUAACCGGCCUGAUUGACGGCUUCACAUAUUGUAUUAACCGCAUUGGUCUUACAAACUUCAAAAAAAUUUCUAAUUGAAAAGUUAUAUCCAUGCAACUGAAUAAAACAUAUGUGUCAAUACAAUAUAAGCUUCAGAAAUAUGUUGAGAUGAAGAAUUGGACUAGAUUCGUUGACCAAAUAAGUCUCGCUCAAAGGCUAUCGGUAAGAAGGUCCACAAUUAAUUUUAAAUUUUUGUUUCAUUAGCUCAAACGAAGCAUAUUAAUUGGUUGUUUAUUCUUGGAGCUGAAGUUUAAACUAUAGUAUAGAUAUUUUAUAACAAGCUUUACAGCAUUAGUAAGCACAAUAGUAAACAUAUAGAACUAAUCCAAACUCAAAUAGUCUGAAAACAAUAUAAAUAUAUAGUCUCUCUGUUUCAUAUUAAAUGUCACUUUAUAUUUAUGCAAAAUUAGAUGUUUCUAAUUUUGUAUAUUUUCUAUAUAAAACAUCAUUACUCAUCAUCUAACCAUAUUUCAACCAAUAGAAAAAUAAACUGGAAAAUAAAAUUAAUAAAAUCUGCAUUGAAAUGGUAAAACGACAAUUAUUUUGCAACAAAAAAAAUUUCUGCAACGACACUUAAUAUGAAACGGAUGGAAUAUUAUUUAAUGUAUUUCGUAAGAGAGUAAUAACUAAGAAGUGCUAUUUAGAUUUACUUAGAACACUUGGGCCUCACUUGACGAGAAUUCCCACCUAAGAGCACCAUUAACGCAGUAGCUUAGGGGGGUGCUUAGUGAUUUUUGGAUUAAAAAAAAAAGAAAAUAAUGUAUUAAGGGAAGCCACGGCGCUUAAUUAAGCUGCACAAGCAACGUAGUUUAUGAGACACGUGCCUUUCAUGGAGGGAGUUUUGCUUUCUUCUCUCCACAUCUCUCUCGAGACGGACAACACCAUUCAAACAAGGUGGCUUUGCAGCUUGUUGCCGUCGCAUGUCCAGGUUCGUUGAACUUAUUCAAUUCCAUAAACCUCGAUUCCUUCUCCUUCUACUACCCAACCAAACCCUCUCAUCGUUCGUCUUCAGAUCAGCCAUAGAGGAUGAGAAAACUUGAAGACACCUCCUCCGUCGUCAUGAAUCUAUAAUGGUAACGACUAAGCUUGACGACUGCAUUAUCAAUAAUCUGAAGGUGAAAUCAAGUUAUCAACGAGAGGGAGGCGACAUUGUUGCUAAAUAAAGUCAGAGUGGAGCAUUGGGAGUGGAAGAAUCACGGACUAGUGUUUGAUCUCUCUGGUCUUCUCGAUGUGGGACUGAACCGUUUGAUGUAGUGUUGUGUCCUAUUGUGUUGUCAUGUGUAGUCUUCUGUUGUUGUGGUACUGAGUCUUGUGUAGUUGUAACAUGUCUUGUGUCGUUGAUGUUCUGAGUCUUGUGUAGUCUUGUGUCACGGACUAGUAACAAGAGUAGUAAAGAAUGUUUAAGUCAUCUUCUCUCC